AACGGCCGCGGUAUUCUGACCGUGCAAAGGUAGCGCAAUCACUUGUCUUUUAAAUAGAGACCUGUAUGAAUGGCAUAACGAGGGCUUAACUGUCUCCUUUUUCCUAUCAAUGAAAUUGAUUUCCCCGUGCAGAAGCGGGGAUACUGACAUAAGACGAGAAGACCCUAUGGAGCUUAAGCCGCAAGAACAGAACUUUACUCCUUUACCAAUCUAAAGGUAUGAAAUUCAUUGUUUUAAUCCUGUUCAAGUGUCUUUGGUUGGGGCGACCACGGAGCAUAUAAAAACCUCCACGAGGAAUGAAAAUAGUCCUUUUUUAUUUAAGGGUGACAACCCUAAAAACCAGAAUUUCUGACCAUUUGAUCCGGCAAAGCCGAUCAGCGAACCGAGUUACCCUAGGGAUAACAGCGCAAUCCUCUUCUAGAGUCCAUAUCGACAAGAGGGUUUACGACCUCGAUGUUGGAUCAGGACGUCCUAAU
rnacentral:rRNA from 1 species